UCAUCAUGCCCUUAUGACCUGGGCUACACACGUGCUACAAUGGUUGGUACAACGAGUUGCGAGUCGGUGACGGCGAGCUAAUCUCUUAAAGCCAAUCUCAGUUCGGAUUGUAGGCUGACAACUCGCCUACAUGAAGUCGGAAUCGCUAGUAAUCGCGGAUCAGCACGCCGCGGUGAAUACGUUCCCGGGCCUU
rnacentral:rRNA from 1 species